rnacentral:tRNA from 1 species
GGGCCGUUAGCUCAUCUGGUAGAGCACGUCAUUUGCAAUGACGGGGUGGCAGGUUCGAGUCCUGUACGGUCCA